rnacentral:lncRNA from 10 species
CCUCUGAUGAUUUGAGUGGUGCUGGCCUGUGUAAUGUAACUGAUUGGUUACUUGACGACGAGGAGCCUCCUGUGCACCCGAUGAAGGCAGUGCGCAAGUCCUUUUCCUCAUCAGGGGAUGAGCGGGCGCCUUCCUUUGCAUGGGGCAGCCCGCCAUGUUGUGGCGAUGGGAGCUAUGUGUGGGUGGGAGAGUGAAUUGGAUCCUAGGAGUUGAUUGGGUCGCCAGGAUGACCCUGGGCCUGUCUGCUGCCCUCCCAGCUCGGCUGUGUCACGGGGCCACCUGUGCGGGGCUCAUUUCCCAGGAAACUCCAAAUGUGUUAGUUUAGACAACAUUGUACGUUUUUUGUUUUUUUUUUGUUUUUGAGACGGAGUUUUGCUCUUCUUUCCUGGGCUGGAGUGCAAUGGCACGAUCUCGGCUAACGGCAACCUUCGCCUCCUGGGUUCAAGCGAUUCUCCUACCUCAGCCUCCCAAGUAGCUGGCAUUACAGGAGCCCACCAUCACGCCUGGCUAAUUUUGUAUUUUUAGUUGAGACGGGGUUUCACCAUGUUGGCCAGGCUGGUCUUGAACUCCUGACCUCAAGUGAUCUGUCUGCCUCAGCCUCCCAAAGUGCUGGGAUUUCAGGCGUGAGCCACCGUGCCUGGCCUGCAUGGUUUUUAAAACAAUCACGUAGAGGGGAAUGUAGAAGGCAAAUUGUAGACACAUCCCUCUUUAUCAGUAAAAGCUAGCUUUGAAUGAAUAUUUAUGGAAAAAGUCACAAAGGACAAGGAACUGAAUCUGACUAUGAGAUGGAAUCACUUCCUGAGUUGAAAUUUAACUUUUGAACAUUUAAUCUCAUCUAAUUCUUCAUUCUUGUGGCAAGACUAUUUUUGCCCCCUCAGCUUCCAGGUGACCACCUGCCCAGGGCUGUCCCCCCCAUCUGGUGGUCAGUGUGAGACACAGGUCAUUUCUGCUGCCUCCCCUCUAGACCCAGCUCAGCUAAUUUUACUUCCUGGGGUCUUCCCCUUGCUUGAACACACAGGUCCUGUUUCCAGCCCCUUUCCCCUGGCUCCUUGUAGGCAAAUGCUACUCCUCUUGCUUCUUUUGACAGUAACGUUAUUAUGACUGUAAGCAAUGCUACUCUGCCUUCACUAGGGAAUGAUGUACGCCUUGAACCGAACCAGUCAGAAGAAAAAGGAGGUGGUUGACUUUGAGUUGAGUUAUUUUCCAACCUCAAGC